rnacentral:rRNA from 1 species
AGAGUUUGAUCCUGGCUCAGGAUGAACGCUAGCUACAGGCUUAACACAUGCAAGUCGAGGGGAAACGAUAUUGGAAGCUUGCUUCCGAUAGGCGUCGACCGGCGCACGGGUGAGUAACGCGUAUCCAACCUGCCCACCACUUGGGGAUAACCUUGCGAAAGUAAGACUAAUACCCAAUGAUAUCUCUAGAAGACAUCUGAAAGAGAUUAAAGAUUUAUCGGUGAUGGAUGGGGAUGCGUCUGAUUAGCUUGUUGGCGGGGUAACGGCCCACCAAGGCAACGAUCAGUAGGGGUUCUGAGAGGAAGGUCCCCCACAUUGGAACUGAGACACGGUCCAAACUCCUACGGGAGGCAGCAGUGAGGAAUAUUGGUCAAUGGACGAGAGUCUGAACCAGCCAAGUAGCGUGCAGGAAGACGGCCCUAUGGGUUGUAAACUGCUUUUAUAAGGGAAUAAAGUGAGAGUCGUGACUCUUUUUGCAUGUACCUUAUGAAUAAGGACCGGCUAAUUCCGUGCCAGCAGCCGCGGUAAUACGGAAGGUCCGGGCGUUAUCCGGAUUUAUUGGGUUUAAAGGGAGCGUAGGCCGGAGAUUAAGCGUGUUGUGAAAUGUAGACGCUCAACGUCUGCACUGCAGCGCGAACUGGUUUCCUUGAGUACGCACAAAGUGGGCGGAAUUCGUGGUGUAGCGGUGAAAUGCUUAGAUAUCACGAAGAACUCCGAUUGCGAAGGCAGCUCACUGGAGCGCAACUGACGGUGAGGCGCGAAAGUGUGGGGAGCAAACAGGAUUAGAUACCCUGGUAGUCCACACUGUAAACGAUGAAUACUAGGUGUGCGGGGACUGACCCCCUGCGUGCCGCAGUUAACACAAUAAGUAUUCCACCUGGGGAGUACGAUCGCAAGGUUGAAACUCAAAGGAAUUGACGGGGGCCCGCACAAGCGGUGGAUUAUGUGGUUUAAUUCGAAGCAACGCGAAGAACCUUACCAGGGUUUGACAUCCUGCUAACGAAGUAGAGAUACAUUAGGUGCCCUUCGGGGAAAGCAGAGACAGGUGGUGCAUGGUUGUCGUCAGCUCGUGUCGUGAGAUGUUGGGUUAAGUCCCGCAACGAGCGCAACCCCUAUUGUUAGUUGCUACGCGAGAGCACUCUAGCGAGACUGCCGUUGACAAAACGGAGGAAGGUGGGGACGACGUCAAAUCAUCAUGCCCCUUAUAUCCUGGGCUACACACGUAAUACAAUGGCGGUCAACAGAGGGAUGCAAAGCCGCGAGGCAGAGCGAACCCCUAAAAGCCGUCCCAGUUCGGAUCGUGGGCUGCAACCCGCCCACGUGAAGUCGGAAUCGCUAGUAAUCGCGGAUCAGCAUGCCGCGGUGAAUACGUUCCCGGGCCUUGUACACACCGCCCGUCACACCAUGAGAGUCGGGAACACCCGAAGUCCGUAGCCUAACCUGAAAAGGA